AAAUUGAAGAGUUUGAUCAUGGCUCAGAUUGAACGCUGGCGGCAGGCCUAACACAUGCAAGUCGAGCGGUAACACAGAGAGCUUGCUCUCGGGUGACGAGCGGCGGACGGGUGAGUAAUGUCUGGGAAACUGCCUGAUGGAGGGGGAUAACUACUGGAAACGGUAGCUAAUACCGCAUAACGUCGCAAGACCAAAGUGG
rnacentral:rRNA from 1 species